rnacentral:lncRNA from 1 species
CACUCCCAUCCCGCCGCCGCUGCCGGCUCCUGGGAAGAGCCCGCAAGCACCACCACGACCUUGCCCGAGCACUGGGAAUCCAAUGGCUGUGAGGUGAGGUUCUUAAGGAAGACUGAAUUGAGAGAUGAACAGCCUUCAGCUUAUUUUUUCCUCAUAACUGUUGCAUAUUUAUGUGCUGAAUUGUGAUGAGCUGUCCUUCCUAUAUUGCAUAUUACUGGUUAUUUUAAUUCAUGAGAUGACAUUCAGAGCAGAGAGGUGCUUCUGAAAGUUU